GGUGCUAGUUAGACAUGUACUUUACACUAAUAGGCUAUGAUACUGAAUUUAUGUCAUUUUCAAUUGUCCACUCAUUAUUACAGUAUCAUUCACAAUGAUAUCACAACAAUCAUUCUUAUUGACACCAUCAAUAAGAUUAGAUAAUAGUGAUAAUCACUUAAAAUGAUAUCUUCAAAAUUGAAAACAAGCUCGACGAUUCCUAAUGUUAAGACUAGAAUAGACUUUCAUCUCUUACAUUCAGGAGUCUCUUGUCGUUUACAAACCUUCUACUAUUCUGAAGUCUUUUGCAACUAUUUGCAAAUAUGACUUAUACUGU
rnacentral:lncRNA from 1 species